rnacentral:rRNA from 1 species
UACGAAGGGGGCUAGCGUUGCUCGGAAUGACUGGGCGUAAAGGGCGCGUAGGCGGCUCGGCACGUCCGUUGUGAAAUCGCCCGGCUCAACUGGGCGGGGUCAGCGGAUACGGUCGAGCUUGAGCAAGCUAGGGGGUAAUGGAAUUCCCGGUGUAGUGGUGGAAUGCGUAGAUAUCGGGAGGAAUACCGGUGGCGAAGGCGGCAUCCUGGACCGGCAUUGACGCUGAUGAGCGAAAGCUAGGGGAGCAAACGGGG